rnacentral:lncRNA from 1 species
GGGCAGUGCACAACCAAAGAACGGCCCCUCAAAAGGUCAAGGUCACCAGGGCGCCUGGGGCCUGCCCAGCUGGACAUCUGUGGAUAUCAGGUUCCACCCCAGGGGCAGGACCUCUGGUGAGCUCCACCCCUCCAUGGGCCUCGGUGUGCAUCUCUGUGCAACGGCAGGGUUGGACGAGCUCAGUGUUUCUCAAAGCGUGGUGAUGCACAGUGACUUCAAGAGGGCCUGGAACAUAACAGGCGAGAGUAAAUGCAGAACAGAUGGAUUCGUGGAUGAGGUGGAGGAAGGAUGAGCCACGUCCAUCCAGGUGCAGGCUUUUUCUACUCUGUGUUUUGAGACUCAUCCGUCCCUGGGAGGAUCCCGCUCCUUUGCUCAGUGUCAGUGUCCUGGCAGCUGGUAGAGGCAAGCAAGAGAAGAAAAAGGCCCCAUGUCUACCCUCCCAGAAAGAACUUCAGGUAACGAGGUAAGUUCAGACGAGCACGGAGGCACACCGAGGUGGGUUUUGGGAGACAAGUCUUUCUAGUGCGGUCUCUUCCAAGCCAAGACUUAAGGGACCAUCAACCACAGGAAGAUCUGGGGAAAGGGAGCAUCAGGCAGAGAAAAUGGCAUGUGCAAAGGCCAGGAGGUAAGGGAGA